GAAGAUAUAGCUCAGUGGUAGAGCACAUGCUUAGUAUGCAUGAGAUCCUGGAUUCAAUUCCCAGUACCUCUA
rnacentral:tRNA from 1 species